UUUGUUAGGGUUUUGAAAACUUUGUUAACCCUUUUAACCAUUUGAAUUAGUCCAUUUCUUGAAAUCAAUUUGGAAGGUUCUCCACAAGUUGUUUGUAGCCACUAUAGAACAAGUUGGUGUCGUCCAUGGAUAUAAAAAUGCAAUCUUUUGUAAUCUCUCUAAAAAAAAACCUCCAUUUUGCAAUGAAUUAAAAAUGCAAGCUUUAUCCAUGUUUUAACUUUAAGGAAAUUGAAAGGCUCUCUCUCAUUUUUCCCCAAUUUUUUUUUUUUUUUUGACAAAAACCAGAAAAUCAUAGCUCCAUGUCCUACUUUUUCUCUUUUGCUUUUUGCUUCUCCUUCUCCCUUCCUCAACUUGCAUAUUCUUCCUCUCUCUUCUCGUUUCUUCCUAAAAGUUAGAAAAAUAUCAUGAAAUCAUGGCUAUCUAUCCUUUUUUCCUUAAAGGAUCGAUCAUAACUUUACAUGGAGAAUAUAGAGAGCUCAAUUUGUUGUGUCUUUCAUUCGGGUUAUGUUUGCAUUUUGUUAUGUACAUACUGUGGCAGGUAUAGGUAUUUAUUAUGGAGUCCAGGGCCCUGCCUCAAAAAUACUUCAAGGUGUAGGCUUAUGAGACAAUUCUCUCUUACCAAACUGAGUUGCGAUUCCAUAGAAGCAAGACAACUAUUCCACAUUUGUUUCAAUGGGUUUGCAGCUCCACCCCAUUCCUAGAAUGGUAAAUUCAUAGGUAUAUUGAUGAAAUUAAAAACAUCAAAAUUAGAAAUGGAGCCUUUUUGGUUUAUCCAAUCCAGCCACUGUUCUGCAUGUGGUAAGGCCACCCCCUUUUCUCCUUUUUGAUAGCCAUAUAAGGAAAAUAGACAGAACAAAGAAAUUGCUGGAUCUGGCAUGGUGCCUCGCCACGUGAAUUGUUUUUGUUUGUGCUGUUUUUUAUUUCCACUCAUUUUCACAGUAGUAAAUUUCAAAUAUGUUGAUUCCAUUUCUCUAUCA